rnacentral:rRNA from 1 species
GACGAACGCUGGCGGCGUGCUUAACACAUGCAAGUCGAACGGAAAGGCCCUGCUUUUGUGGGGUGCUCGAGUGGCGAACGGGUGAGUAACACGUGAGUAACCUCCCCUUGACUUUGGGAUAACUUCAGGAAACUGGGGCUAAUACCGGAUAGGAGCUCCUGCUGCAUGGGGGGGGUUGGAAAGUUUCGGCGGUUGGGGAUGGACUCGCGGCUUAUCAGCUUGUUGGUGGGGUAGUGGCUUACCAAGGCUUUGACGGGUAGCCGGCCUGAGAGGGUGACCGGCCACAUUGGGACUGAGGUACGGACCAGACUCCUACGGGAGGCAGCAGGGGGGAAUAUUGCACAAUGGGCGGAAGCCUGAUGCAGCAACGCCGCGUGCGGGAUGACGGCCUUCGGGUUAUAAACCGCUUUCGCCGGUGACGAAGCGGGCGUGACGGUAAUGGGUAAAGAAGCACCGGCUAACUACGUG